rnacentral:sRNA from 1 species
GCUGGGCGUGGUGGUGUGCGCCUGUAAUCCCAGCUACAUGGGAGGCUGAGACAGGAGAAUUGCUUGAACUCAGGAGGCGGAGCUUGCAGUGAGCCAAGAUCGCACCACUGCACUCCAGCCUGGGUGACAGAGUGAGACUCUGUCUCAA